rnacentral:lncRNA from 1 species
CGAAAGCUCUGGACUGGGAACUGUCGCCGGAAGCUCUGGACUGGGAACUGUCGCCGGAAGCUCUGGACUGGGAACUGUCGCCAGAAGCUCUGGACUGGGAACUGUCGCCGGACUGGGCAGGCGCACAGGAGGCCUAGUGCGUGGAGCCGGGACAGGUGGCACCAGACUGGUGACACGCACUUCAGGGCGAGUGCGAGGAGCAGGCACAGGACGUACUAGACUGGGGAGGCGCACUGGAGGUCUGGAGCGUAGAGCUGGCACAACCCGUCCUGGCUGAAUGCUCACUUUAGCCCGGCAAGUGCGGGGCGCUGGCACAGGACGCACUGGGCUGUGUAGGCGCACUGGCGACACAGUGCGUAGAGCUGGUGCAGGAUAUCCUGGACCGAGGAG